rnacentral:rRNA from 1 species
UUCGGGCCGGACACYGUGAGGAUUGACAGAUUGAUAGCUCUUUCAUGAUUCGGUGGUUGGUGGUGCAUGGCCGUUCUUAGUUGGUGGAGUGAUUUGUCUGGUUUAUUCCGAUAACGAGCGAGACUCUAGCCUACUAAAUAGUUACUGGAUAUCUAUUGUAAAUGUCCAGAUGACUUCUUAGAGGGACAAGCGGUGUUUAGCCGCAUGAAGUUGAGCAAUAACAGGUCUGUGAUGCCCUUAGAUGUCCAGGGCUGCACGCGCGCUACACUGGAGGAAUCAGCGUGCUGUAACCAUUGCCGAAAGGUAUUGUACUCAUGCAAUYUWG